rnacentral:rRNA from 1 species
UACGUAGGGGGCAAGCGUUGUCCGGAAUCAUUGGGCGUAAAGGGCGCGUAGGCGGCUUGGUCAGUCCCGUGUGAAAUCCCUCGGCUCAACUGAGGAACUGCACGGGAAACUGCCUGGCUUGAGUUCGGGAGAGGGAAGCGGAAUUCCGGGUGUAGCGGUGGAAAUGCGUAGAUAUCCGGAGGAACACCGGUGGCGAAGGCGGCUUCCUGGACCGACACUGACGCUGAGGCGCGAAAGCUAGGGGAGCAAACGGG